CACGUUCAAUGCAUGGAAGUAAAGACUCGAAAAAGAUUAACAAGGGGUAGGCCUAUGGCUACAACAGGUGCAUAUGUCUCUUAUCCGCCGGAACCAGCUGCCGGUGCAUGGCGAGAGAGAAGCCGAACAGGCUGCCUGGAUCUCCGCUCCUUCGCAGGACAUUGUCGGUGUCCAGGUUGAAAGCCGAGAGUCGUCCGCAUCCCAGGAGAAAGACGACCGUCCACAGUCCACAGGUACAGAGCAAAGCAGCAGCCAGCUGGACGAUCACUUGUGAUUUAUGGUUCUUCUUGAAGAAGGACAGGAAACAGGAAUAGGCCUUAUCGCUGAUAAGCUGAUAACAGCAGUGUGUUUAAGUGGGGUGAGUAAGGUUGGCUCACCCUUGGCUUGUGGAUUUCUUUCAGAGUCCAUGCCCAAAGUGAGUGUGUGUGUGUAUGCUGACAUAUUGACACAGUGAGAACAGAAGGACCCCCACUCAAUUAACAGACAUACUGUUUAUUUGUUUAUUUGAAAAGGGACAAUGUAUACUGAUCAACAUUCAAAGUAAAUGUAAAUGUACCCGAGUUAGCCACAGGCUAGUUUUCAUCAGCAGUCCC